UACGUAGGUCCCGAGCGUUGUCCGGAUUUAUUGGGCGUAAAGCGAGCGCAGGUGGUUUAUUAAGUCUGGUGUAAAGGGCAGUGGCUCAACCAUUGUAUGCAUUGGAAACUGGUAGACUUGAGUGCAGGAGAGGAGAGUGGAAUUCCAUGUGUAGCGGUGAAAUGCGUAGAUAUAUGGAGGAACACCGGUGGCGAAAGCGGCUCUCUGGCCUGUAACUGACACUGAGGCUCGAAAGCGUGGGGAGCAAACAGG
rnacentral:rRNA from 1 species